rnacentral:rRNA from 1 species
UACGUAGGGGGCGAGCGUUGUCCGGAAUCAUUGGGCGUAAAGAGCUCGUAGGCGGUUUGUCGCGUCUGCUGUGAAAACCUGAGGCUCAACCUCGGGCUUGCAGUGGGUACGGGCAGACUAGAGUGCGGUAGGGGUGACUGGAAUUCCUGGUGUAGCGGUGGAAUGCGCAGAUAUCAGGAGGAACACCGAUGGCGAAGGCAGGUCACUGGGCCGCAACUGACGCUGAGGAGCGAAAGCAUGGGGAGCGAACAGG